UGAUAGAGGCGCGGAAAGCAAGAGUACCCCAAUCCGAAACAGGCAUGUGGAUGGGCGAAAGGGCUGGCCGCCGAGGGGUCAGAGGGAUGCCUGUCCUGUCUGAUGCCCGGGCCGCCGGAGAACAUCCGUCGGACUGUCGUCUGCAUUGCGGACGGAGAGCUGUCAG
rnacentral:ncRNA from 1 species